rnacentral:rRNA from 1 species
UUACACAUGCAAGUCGAGGGGUAACAGGGAGAAGCUUGCUUUUCCGCUGACGACCGGCGCACGUUUGCGUAACGCGUAUAGAACCUACCUUUUACAGGCCAAUAGCCCAGAGAAAUUUGGAUUAGCCCCAUGGUAUUGUAAAGUGGCAUCACUUAACAAUUAAACAUUUAUGGGUAAAAGAUGGCUAUGCGUUCUAUUAGCUAGAUGGUAAGGUAACGGCUUACCAUGGCAACGAUAGAUAGGGGUCCUGAGAGGGAGACCCCCCACACUGGUACUGAGACACGGACCAGACUCCUACGGGAGGCAGCAGUGAGGAAUAUUGGACAAUGGAGGCAACUCUGAUCCAGCCAUGCCGCGUGCAGGAAGACGGCCCUAUGGGUUGUAAACUGCUUUUAUACAGGAAGAAACCUUUCCACGAGUGGGAAGCUGACGGUACUGUAAGAAUAAGCACCGGCUAACUCCGUGCCAGCAGCCGCGGUAAUAC